CCUACGGGAGACAGCAGUGAGGAAUAUUGGUCAAUGGGCGCGAGCCUGAACCAGCCAAGUAGCGUGAAGGAAGACUGUCCUAUGGGUUGUAAACCUCUUUUAUCAAGGAAUAAAGUGAGCCACGUGUGCCUUUCUGUAUGUACUUUAUGAAUAAGCAUCGGCUAACUCCGUGCCAGCAGCCGCGGUAAUACGGAGGAUCCGAGCGUUAUCCGGAUUUAUUGGGUUUAAAGGGAGCGUAGAUGGGAUGUUAAGUCAGUUGUGAAAAUUUGCGGCUCAACCGUAAAAUUGCCAUUGAAACUGGCAGCCUUGAGUGCAGGUGAGGUAUGCGGAAUGCGUGGUGUAGCGGUGAAAUGCUUAGAUAUCACGAAGAACUCCGAUUGCGAAGGCAGCAUAC
rnacentral:rRNA from 1 species